rnacentral:tRNA from 9 species
GGAGGGGUGGCCGAGUGGCUUAAGGCGGCGCCCUGCUAAGGCGUUGACUCGAAAGAGUCUCGUGGGUUCGAAUCCCACCCCCUCCG